GUCUACAGCCAUGCCACCCUGAACAAGCCUGAUCCCAUCCGAUCUUGGAAGCUAAGCAGGGUCAAGCCUGGUUAGUACUUGGAUGGAGACCACCUAGGAAGAUCAGGUGCUGUAGGCG
rnacentral:rRNA from 1 species